GACGAACGCUGGCGGCGUGCCUAAUACAUGCAAGUCGAGCGCAGGAAGCCGUCUGAACCCUUCGGGGGGACGACGGUGGAAUGAGCGGCGGACGGGUGAGUAACACGUAGAGAACCUGCCCAUAGGUCUGGGAUAACCACGAGAAAUCGGGGCUAAUACCGGAUGUGUCAUCGGACCGCAUGGUCCGCUGAUGAAAGGCGCUUCGGCGUCGCCCAUGGAUGGUUUUGCGGUGCAUUAGCUAGUUGGUGGGGUAACGGCCCACCAAGGCGAGGAGGAAGGGCCGACCUGAGAGGGUGAUCGGCCACACUGGGACUGAGACACGGCCCAGACUCCUACGGGAGGCAGCAGUAGGGAAUCUUCCACAAUGGACGAAAGUCUGAUGGAGCAACGCCGCGUGAACGAUGAAGGCUUUCGGGUCGUAAAGUUCUGUUGUAAGGGAAGAACAAGUGCCGCAGGCAAUGGCGGCACCUUGACGGUACCUUGCGAGAAAGCCACGGCUAACUACGUGCCAGCCGCCGCCGUAAUAC
rnacentral:rRNA from 1 species